CAGCAGCCGCGGUAAUACGUAGGGGGCAAGCGUUGUCCGGAAUUAUUGGGCGUAAAGCGCGCGCAGGCGGUCAUGUAAGUCUGGUGUUUAAUCCCGGGGCUCAACCCCGGAUCGCACUGGAAACUGUGUGACUUGAGUGCAGAAGAGGAGAGUGGAAUUCCACGUGUAGCGGUGAAAUGCGUAGAGAUGUGGAGGAACACCAGUGGCGAAGGCGACUCUCUGGGCUGUAACUGACGCUGAGGCGCGAAAGCGUGGGGAGCAAACAGGAUUAGAUACCCCAGUAGUCCCUGUCUCUUAUACA
rnacentral:rRNA from 1 species